CAGAGAGCUGGAUUAAUUCUUCUCAGUGGAAGCAGUUUGGGUGUAACUCAACAUUUCCCUUAAAAGUCUCUUUGCUUUGACAGAGAGGCAAAGAGAAAGAGAAACAAAAGUACUUGGAUAUCAGAGAAGGGCCACAGAGAACAAAGCUGCAAUAGGAAAGAUCAAACUCUUUCAGUCUCACCUCCGCAUAUCCAGCAUCUGGUACAUGGCAGGCUCUUCCCCUUCAGAGGCAAAACAGACUAAGAGAUGAUCCAGAUUCACAUCCUCAGUACAAAGCCAGUGCAUCUUCACCAGUAAUUCCAGGAAAAAAAAAAUAAAAUAAAAAACAAGAUUGAGUCUCACUGGCCCAGGUUGGAUAACAUGUUUAUUUCUGUACCCUCACUGCAGCCAGCUAUAUGGAGUGCCCACUUCUGAAGACGUGAGACGGGUGCCAUGUCCUUGUAAACUACUGAAAUCAAUGCAUAUCACACUAACAACACAGAGGCCUUCAUCUCACACACUCCCGAAGUAGACGGGACUUCUCUACGUCUUCAGAUCAGAUCCACGAAUAUUUGAAGAAAACUUUGCAAAACCUUCCAACUUGAGACAACAGCAGCAGAC